rnacentral:rRNA from 1 species
CCUACGGGUGGCAGCAGUCGAGAAUUUUUCUCAAUGGGGGAAACCCUGAAGGAGCGACGCCGCGUGGGGGAUGAAUGGCUUCGGCCCGUAAACCCCUGUCAUUUGCGAACAAACCUCUAGGUUGAACAUUCCUGGAGCUGAUUGUAGCAGAAGAGGAAGGGACGGCUAACUCUGUGCCAGCAGCCGCGGUAAUACAGAGGUCCCGAGCGUUGUUCGGAUUCACUGGGCGUAAAGGGUGCGUAGGUGGCUGGGUAAGUUUGAUGUGAAAGCUCCGAGCUCAACUCGGAAAAUGCAUUGAAUACUAUCCAGCUCGAGGGUUGUAGGGGGGACUGGAAUUCUCGGUGUAGCAGUGAAAUGCGUAGAUAUCGAGAGGAACACCAGUGGCGAAGGCGAGUCCCUGGACAAAUCCUGACACUGAGGCACGAAAGCUAGGGGAGCAAACAGGAUUAGAUACCCUGGUAGUC